AUUGAACGCUGGCGGCAGGCCUAACACAUGCAAGUCGAGCGGAGCGGCGGACGGGUGAGUAAUGCCUAGGAAUCUGCCUGGUAGUGGGGGAUAACGUCAGGAAACGGGCGCUAAUACCGCAUACUAUCAGAUGAGCCUAGGUCGGAUUAGCUCGUAGGUGGGGUAACGGCUCACCUAGGCGACGAUCCCUAGCUGGUCUGCGGAGAUGACCCGCCACACUGGAACUGAGACACGUUCCAGAAUCCUACGGGAGGCAGCAGUGGGGAAUAUUGCACAAUGGGCGCAAGCCUGAUGCAGCCAUGCCGCGUGUGUGAAGAAGGCCUUCGGGUUGUAAAGCACUUUCAGCGGGGAGGCGUUACCCGCAGAAGAAGCACCGGCUAACUCCGUGCCAGCAGCCGCGGUAAUAC
rnacentral:rRNA from 1 species